GGCAGGGGAAGCUUGAAGAGUUUUACUACAAUAUCGAUGAAUUUGAGUAAAUUGGGAGGAAGCACAUUUGAAAGACUUCAUUUCAUGGAAGAAUCAAGCCAUGAGAAAAAUCCUCCAGUAAUAUGGCUACUAAAUGUUGGUGAUCAUCACUGCUGUUUUUCCUUCCCAUGGCAAGAGGGGACAGAGGGCCAAACCCAAUCUGAGAGAGAAGUGGUUGGUACCUGAUCCAAGAACAGUUCUGCAUGUGUAAGAGCUGAGAAUUUCACCUUUUCAACACACUUGAACAGUGAAGGGAAGCCUAUCUCCUACUGCGGGGACCAACAAAGAUCAGAGGAGGAUUAGCAAGGACAUAUAGUCUAAAGCAGUCUACUGUAUGGUGAUCAUUGGAGUAGUUGAAAGUCAUUCAUCACUUGGGCUGUGAAAAAGAUCCAAACGUAUCCACUUUGCGCUUUGAAGGAUUCUUUUUGCUUGCUUUCCCUUCCUUUAACAAUACAAGAGAGUUCAAACUUCAGCUGUAUAGGAAUUUCGUAAUUCUGUUAAUGCUGGCAAGUAUAAGGUAUGUUUUAUGAGAUACCUUAUGAAACUGAUGGAGUAAAAUGAAUAAUAACAAUAUUAAUAAAAAAAAGUGUUAUCCAAGCUGAAAAUGUUGCAAGGAUAAACAAAUCAGUAAAAGGUGCAGUUUGCUUAUGAUACAGUAAUUUUAUGAGUCAUAAUUUUUCAGAUGAACAGAAGCUAUCAUCAUUAUCAACUAAUAGCUUUAAGAAUGACUUAUCUCACUUGAUACUGCCUAUGGUAUUCCUGGAGUGUGAAAGAAUUUUAAAUUGUCUGUAAGGAACUGAUGCUGCCUAAAGGACAUUAGAAUAAAUGAAGCACAGCAUUUUAAGUGUUAGCCCUUCAGAAGAAAAGAAACAAACAUCCUUUACAAAAUGCAUAGGGGUGCAUGUACUCUGUCACUUCUGGACUAUAUGUGCCAUUCUCAGUGUCUUCCAUCAAAUAUUCAGCAGAAGGGCAUUAUUAAUGUUGGAUCUGAUUCUCUUUUCCUGCCCAAAAGAACUAUAAGU